rnacentral:misc_RNA from 1 species
GAUGAAGAACGUAGCGAAAUGCGAUAAGUAAUGUGAAUUGCAGAAUUCAGUGAAUCAUCGAAUCUUUGAACGCACCUUGCGCUCCUUGGUAUUCCGAGGAGCAUGCCUGUUUGAGUGUCAUGAAAUUCUCAAACCCAUAAGUCUUUGCGGGCUUACGGGCUUUGGACUUGGAGGCUUGUCGGCGACCGUAAAGUCACAUCGACUCCUCUCAAAUGCAUUAGCUUGAUUCCUUGCGGAUCGGCUCUCGGUGUGAUAAUUGUCUACGCCGUGACCGUGAAGCGUUUUGGCAAGCUUCUAACCGUCUCUAACGAGACAGCUUACUUUGACCUCUGACCUCAAAUCAGGUAGGACUACCCGCUGAACUUAAGCAUAUCAAUAAGCGGAGGA